rnacentral:rRNA from 1 species
AGUGAACGCUGGCGGUAGGCCUAACACAUGCCAGUCGAACGGCAGCACAGUAAGAGCUUGCUCUUACGGGUGGCGAGUGGCGGACGGGUGAGGAAUACAUCGGAAUCUACUUUUUCGGGGGGGAUAACGUAGGGAAACUUACGCUAAUACCGCAUACGACCUACGGGGGAAAGCAGGGGAUCUUCGGACCUUGCGCGAUUGAAUGAGCCGAUGUCGGAUUAGCUAGUUGGCGGGGUAAAGGCCCACCAAGGCGACGAUCCGUAGCUGGUCUGAGAGGAUGAUCAGCCACACUGGAACUGAGACACGGUCCAGACUCCUACGGGAGGCAGCAGUGGGGAAUAUUGGACAAUGGGCGCAAGCCUGAUCCAGCCAUACCGCGUGGGUGGAGAAGGCCUUCGGGUUGUAAAGCCCUUUUGUUGGGAAAGAAAAGCAGCAGGUUAAUACCCCGCUGUUCUGACGGUACCCAAAGAAUAAGCACCGGCUAACUUCGUG